GCCUACGGCCAUAUCACCCUGAACACACCCGAUCUUGUCUGAUUUCGGAAGCUAAGCAAGGUCGCGUCUGGUUAGUACUUGGACAAGAGACAUGAUGGGCA
rnacentral:rRNA from 1 species